GUUGUUGCAGUUAAAAAGCUCGUAGUUGGAUCUCAGAAGGACUUCAGUUGGUCGGCCUAACUGGUCAGAACCGGCUGUCUCUUUCUUGUUUCUGAAUCCCGCCUGAUGUUCAUUCAUCAGGUGUAGACCUCAGAUCGUUUACCUUGAAAAAAUUAGAGUGUUCAAAGCGGGCGUUUGCUUGAAUAUAUUAGCAUGGAAUAAUGGAAUAGGACCCUGGUCUUAUUUUGUUGGUUUUGAGGACUAGAGUAAUGAUUAAUAGGGAUAGUUGGGGGCAUUCAUAUUUAAUUGUCAGAGGUGAAAUUCUUGGAUUUAUGAAAGAUGAACUUCUGCGAAAGCAUUUGCCAAGGAUGUUUUCAUUAAUCAAGAACGAAAGUUAGGGGAUCGAAGACGAUCAGAUACCGUCGUAGUCUUAACCAUAAACUAUGCCGACUAGGGAUUGGGAGCGGUUUGUUCAUUGACCCUCUCAGCACCUUACGAGAAAUCAAAGUUUUUGGGUUCCGGGGGGAGUAUGGUCGCAAGGCUGAAACUUAAAGGAAUUGACGGAGGGGCACCACCAGGAGUGGAGCCUGCGGCUUAAUUUGACUCAACACGGGAAAACUUACCAGGUCCAGACAUAGGAAGGAUUGACAGAUUGAGAGCUCUUUCUUGAUUCUAUGGGUGGUGGUGCAU
rnacentral:rRNA from 1 species